GUUUUCCAGCAACAAGGCAAAGCGUCAUGAAAAGGCUAGUGGACACCGUACUGGGGCUUUUGUUUGCCCAGGUUUGCUGUGUGAGAGGGAUGGAUGUGGUGCAGAGUCCCCCAGCCCUGAGUCUCCAGGAGGGAGCCAGCUCUACUCUGCGGUGUAAUUUCUCCACCUCCCUAGACAAUGUGCAGUGGUAUCUUCAGAACCCCUGGGGCCACCUCAUCCGCCUGUUUUACAUUCCUUCAGGGACAAAGCAGGAAGGAAGAUUAAAUGCCACGACAGUCCCUAGAGAACGCCGCAGCUCACUGCACAUUUCCUCUUCGCGGACCACAGACUCGGGCACUUACUUCUGUGCUGCGCAGCACGGUGCUCCCCAGGCACCUGCAGCCUCUACAGGAACCCUCCCGGGGCUCAGCCCCUCCUCCAGCCUCAGUCACACCGUGAGGCCCCACAGGGCGUUUGCAGUGCUUCAUGUUACUCACCUGCAUCAGGACAGUUUUAACCACAGACACCGUUUGGCCCUACAGGUUAUGGACUUUGGUCUCAAUCUCCCCUUCUCAGUCUGUGUCUCCUUCUUCACUAGAAACUUCGAACUGGGAACUAGCAGAGUAGUUGAUACGAGGACAGAAUUAAAAUAA